UACGGGGGGGGCAAGCGUUGUUCGGAAUUACUGGGCGUAAAGGGCUCGUAGGCGGCCAACUAAGUCGGAUGUGAAAUCCCCAGGCUUAACCUGGGAACUGCAUCCGAUACUGGAUGGCUUGAAUCCGGGAGAGGGAUGCAGAAUUCCAGGUGUAGCGGUGAAAUGCGUAGAUAUCGGGAGGAACACCAGUGGCGAAGGCGGCGACCUGGGCCAAUAUUGACGCUGAGGUGCGAAAGCGUGGGGAGCAAACAGG
rnacentral:rRNA from 1 species